GUGCCAGCCGCCGCGGUAAUACGUAGGGGGCAAGCGUUGUCCGGAUUUAUUGGGCGUAAAGGGCGUGUAGGCGGCCUGGUAAGUCGGGGGUGAAAACUCAGGGCUCAACCCUGAGACUGCCUUCGAUACUGCUGGGCUUGAGUGCUCUAGAGGGUAGUGGAAUUGCCGGUGUAGCAGUGAAAUGCGUAGAGAUCGGCAGGAACACCAGUGGCGAAGGCGACUGCCUGGGGAGUAACUGACGCUGAGGCGCGAAAGCUGGGGGAGCAAACGGGAUUAGAUACCCCGGUAGUCCCAGCCGUAAACGAUGAGUGCUAGGUGUGAGGGGUAUCGACCCCCCUCGUGCCGCAACAAACGCAAUAAGCACUCCGCCUGGGGAGUACGGCCGCAAGGUUGAA
rnacentral:rRNA from 1 species